GAUGAAGAACGCAGCGAAACGCGAUAUGUAAUGUGAAUUGCAGAAUUCAGUGAAUCAUCGAAUCUUUGAACGCACAUGGCGCCUUCCAGUAUCCUGGGAGGCAUGCCUGUCCGAGCGUCGUUUCAACCCUCGAGCCCCCGUGGCCCGGCGUUGGGGAUCUGCCCAGGCAGUCCCCGAAAACCAGUGGCGGACCCGUUACAGGCCCUUCCCUUGCGUAGUAGCAUUCGCCUCGCAUCGGGAGCCGGCGGGCUUCCAGCCUCGAAACCCCCAUCAAGUCCGCCCCGGCGGCACCAAGGUUGACCUCGGAUCAGGUAGGAAUACCCGCUGAACUUAAGCAUAUCAAUAAGCGGAGGA
rnacentral:misc_RNA from 1 species